GUGGGGAAUAUUGCACAAUGGGGGAAACCCUGAUGCAGCGACGCCGCGUGAAGGAAGAAGUAUCUCGGUAUGUAAACUUCUAUCAGCAGGGAAGAUAGUGACGGUACCUGACUAAGAAGCCCCGGCUAACUACGUGCCAGCAGCCGCGGUAAUACGUAGGGGGCAAGCGUUAUCCGGAUUUACUGGGUGUAAAGGGAGCGUAGACGGACUGGCAAGUCUGAUGUGAAAGGCGGGGGCUCAACCCCUGGACUGCAUUGGAAACUGUUAGUCUUGAGUGCCGGAGAGGUAAUCGGAAUUCCUAGUGUAGCGGUGAAAUGCGUAGAUAUUAGGAGGAACACCAGUGGCGAAGGCGGCUUACUGGACGGUAACUGACGUUGAGGCUCGAAAGCGUGGGGAGCAAACAGGAUUAGAUACCCGGGUAGUCC
rnacentral:rRNA from 1 species